GGCGUCAGCAGUGCGAGCAAGAGCAGCGAGACUCAUAUUUCACACUGAAGCGCGAGCGUCGAUCGCCACACACUGGAUGUACCUGCUGAAGAAACACCUUUCAAGAGAGCCAGGGUGGAAAAUGGGGCACUUCAGUUCUCAACUUGUUAUCUAAUUGGGGGGUUGUUGCUUGUAGCAGAGUCUGGCUUUCUGAUAUGGCAGUGGACGCGGCCUCUAGUUUUACUUUUUGUCGCCCUGCGGUGGAGUACAGGGCUCUUCCUGAGGACUUCAAGUACCAGUUGAGUCGUUGUGCAGGUGGAAACCUUACCUGGCAUGAAGGGCACAACCGCAAAACUGCAGGGGGUCGAACGGUCAAACUACUGCAGCAGCCUGGAACAGAAGGACUUCAGUUACGUUCAGGUGAAUCUUACUCCGUUUACCACACCAGCCCCACCUUGCCGUGUCUCUCCAGGCCAGUGGUUUUGUGGUCUCAGCAGGACGUGUGCAGAUGGCUAAAGAAACACUGUCCGCACAACUACUUGACCUACGUGGAAGCCUUCUCCCACCACGCCAUUACAGGUCGCGCUCUCUUGAGAUUGAAUGGUGAGAAGUUGGAGCGGAUGGGCUUGGUUCAGGAGACUCUGAGACAAGAGCUUCUCCAGCAGGUUCUGCAACUGCAAGUACAAGAGGAAGGGCGCAACUUACAGCUGCUAAGCAGAGGGCUCUCUGGAAACCUGUCAUAGCUUCACCCAUGCGUGUGGUUCUUCUUCCAGACCGCCUGCACUCUGAAGGGACAUCAAUAUGUCUGGUCAGGUUGAGGCCAGAGACAUUUGACUGGAGCUGUCAGGGACUGGAAUACACAAUCUGCUUCAAAAUGCAAACACAAGAUGCAGAGGAAUGCUGAAUCUAUAUCUGAUGAAGGUGGACGCAGCUGUCUGUGCCAAAGCUCCCUGGAUUUCACAAAAUCUCUGAUCCAGUUGAAAGAGGCUCAGUGGUAACCUGGAUGUCUGGUAAUGCUAUCAGUAUGUGCAAGAACUACAAAAAUAUGCCUGUAGAAAACUGGAUUGUUGACUAUUUUCUGCUGGAAUGUGAACAUGUCCAUCAAGACUAUUGCAUAAUCAAUUGUAUUAGUGUUACAUUUCCUGUAGAACCUCUUUUUUUCAUUGGAGAUGCACCUAAACCUCCAUUUCAGACAUCUGGCUAUAGGAUGUUUGGGUUGAUUGUUUCUUUUUAGUUUCUUCUGUUAAGAGAUUCUGUUUCUAAGAAUGAAGAGAUAAAAUACGUCUGAACUAGUUCGACCGUGUGAUAAUAACAACAGCAUUUACACUGAAAUGAUAAGCAUCUUUGGCCACAGAGGCUGUAUUUAUGUUAUGUAAAUUACAAAGCUCUUUAAGCCUGGGAGAAUCGCAGAUGACAGAUGUGAAGUUAAGGCAAACAGAUGACAUUCUCCAUUGUUCUCUUAAAAAGAGACUCGGGUUAGGACUUGCCUGAGAGACCAUUUAAAAAAAAAAAAACAUCAAAAGAUCAAGAUUAUAAAGUGAGAAAACUUGAAGGUGGUUGGAGACAAUGAAACUGUACCCCAGCAUUAUUGAGUAGUGUGUCAUUUUAAGUAAUGAUAGGAGCUUGGUAUUUUAUCAUGGAGUGUUAAGUGUUGUGGCACCAUGACUCAGUUUGAUGGGGAAAUGCAUUGAUGUGUAAGAUUUUGAUUUUAAAGCACAGAAAUUAGGAAAAUGUUUUGAAGCCACGUUCAAAUUACACGAUGUGCUUUUAGCCAAGGGCAGAACUGUUUGUGUUUUAAAUCUGGAUUGUACUGUACAUUCCUUGAAUGCCUUUUUCACAUUUGCAGAUGACGUAUUAAAAUAUUAUUUACAUUUUGUGGCAUACA